AAAAAAAAUUCCAUCAACUCAGCGAACCCGUGAAUUUUUGUAGUCGUCGUCGUUGUCGUUCGUCAAAACAUUUCAAGGUGCAAUCGUAGCACUAUUUGGGAGAUGUUUUAAAUUAUUUACAAUUAUCUUAUGAAAAAUUAGUCAAAUUAAACCUCGUUUAUAGUUUUUCAUAAUUGCAACAUAAUUUCCAAAGCCAGAUAAUUAAACAAAAUAAUCCGGAAAAUCUUCUUUCUGGCCAAGUGAGUCACUUCGAGAGUGCAAAGAAAAAGAAAAUCGCCAUUUGGAAGUAGCUAUACGAGACGAGAACGAACAAACGAAACAAAAAAAAAAGAAAAGAAGACACAGUUGACUGCCUAACUGCACACUGAACCUCUUCUUUUUCCCCCUACCCCCGUUUGUGAACUAUCGCAGCAAUCAUUAAGUGAGAAAGUGCGAGGCCAGAAUCUGCGGAGAAAUCCAAGUUUAUUUUUUGUUUCUUAUUUAUUUUCUUUCAUUUUGAUAAAUUAUUUAUUUUGCUCCCAUUAUUUGAGCAUCUUUGUUGAAAAUUAGAAAGAAAAAAGAAUAACCUUUUCGUGGGAAAUUUAACAAACGAAAAUAAAAAAAAUACAAAGGUGAGAAAACCGAAAAUAAAUUAAGAAGAAGAUCGAAAAAGUGAAAUCUUUGCAACAAUUUAUUUUUUAGUGCAUUCGCAUUAGCGUUAACACUAACGCCAUCUACAAUCAGAAUGGUGGACCGUCUAGUAAACAGCGAAGCAAACACCCGUCGCAUAGCGAUGGUCGAGAACUGCUUCGGAAGCUCCGGCCAGCCACUAGCUAUUCCCGGUCGAGUGCUAGUGGGCGAGGGUGUCCUUACCAAAAUGUGCCGCAAACGUCCGAAGAGUCGCCAGUUCUUCUUGUUCAAUGACAUUCUCGUCUAUGGCAACAUUGUUAUUGGAAAAAAGAAAUACAACAAACAACACAUAAUGCCUUUGGAGGAAGUCCAACUGGAGACCAUUGAUGAUCAUGGUCAGUUCCGCAACGGCUGGCUCAUCCGAACAACCACAAAGUCGUUUGUGGUUUACGCUGCCACCAGCACAGAGAAACAAGAAUGGAUGGCGCAUAUCAACAAGUGCGUGGAGGACUUGCUGCGGAAGAGUGGCAAGAAGCCAGUGGAGAAUCAUGCAGCCGUCUGGGUGCCCGAUAACGAGGCAUCGAUAUGCAUGCACUGCAAGAAGACGCAAUUCACAAUGUUAGUGCGUCGUCAUCACUGUCGCAAUUGUGGGGACGUGGUGUGCGGACCAUGUUCUUCGAAGAAAUUCUUGCUGCCGCAACAGAGCACCAAGUCUGUGAGGGUUUGCCUUAAGUGCUACGACAAUUUAAGCAAGGCCAAGGCACAAGAGGAACACAUCAAGGAAGGGGCAAACAUCUCCUCGACGGUCAAUGCUCUGGGCAAAGCAACGAACAACAAUGCAACCGGAACUGUGUCGAAUGGCGAUAGUUCAGCCGAAGACGAUUCGGACGGAGAUGAGGACGAUCUUCAAAAGCAUUCACAACAUCAGCACGCCGAGCCAACAUUCUAUGGUGAUUCUUCAAUCAUAUCGGAUAAGAUUGAGGAUGCUGGCAACAACUCAGCAGCGACGAGUACCAACAACAACAGCAAGUGAUGUUUAACAAAUUUAAGCCAAGUCGUAGAUCGAGGGGAAAGGGAAAGGGAUAAGGAAGGAAAAGAGGAAGCUACAGUAGAAACAGAUAUAAAUGGAAGAUUAGUAGAAGGCCGCCGUCGUGGAGUUGGGAGAAGCAAUAGAGAUAGAGAAAGAGAUCAACGUGCAUUGGAUACUACGGGAGUGGAGGAGGAGGAGAAUUCUGCGGCUGGCCUUUUAUCAACUGUUAUCAAUUUUGUGUCUUGGCGAAAAACAAGAAAAAUUUAGCAUUAUUAUGAACAACAACAAAAACAGCUACAGCAACAACAACAACAAAACAAAAAACAUUUACAAACAAAUUCUACUACUUUUAAACAACACACACAAUUUAUGAAUGGAGUAUUACUCACAAUGUUAAGAGGAAGAAGAACGUAAAAAACACGAAGAGGAAAUAGUUAAAGAACUCCGAAAGCUAGCAUCAUUCAAAGCACGACCAAAUCCUUUUAAAUAAACAAACAUUUAUUUAAGGAUCCGAAUAAUUAUUCAAAAACAAAAAAAUUAACACAAUAUUUUAAUUGUUAUUUUUUUCUAUUCCUAGUUAUGUAAAAAAAAAAGAAUUAUUAACUAGUUCACAAAAAAUAUAAUAUUCGCGGCGGCACUGUUAGAUCGAUACUAAAAGAAAAUUAAUUUACAAACAAAAAUUAUACUUAAAUAUGUAUUUUUCUUAAUCGAUAGUUUUACUCUAACAACAUACACAAUUAUACAUAUAUAUACAUGCGUCUUUAUAGAUAUAAAUAUCAAAUUACUAAUUAUAGUGAAUAAGAGUUCUCUUCUUUUAUAUUAAAUAUAUUGUUUUUUUUUUUUGUAUUACAUUUUAUUCUUUUUAUUUUUGCAUUAUUAUUUUAAAAUAUUCUUUUAAUUUUUGUUUAUAAUAAGAGAGUAUUUAAUUUAUUCCAAACAAAAUAAUAUUUUGAAAUUAUUUUUUUGUAUUAUUAAUUAAUAUUGUUAGAUAAAAAACAAAACAAAGGUUGACAAUAAUGCUUGUUGAUUAAAAUUUUGCAAAAUAGUGUUAAAAUAUUUAAUAUUGUUUAUUUACAAUUAUUAUUUCUUUCCUCGGCAUCAUUGAAUCAGAAAAAAAGCAAACAGAAGAGAACGACGACGAUUCUUGUGUUUUUUUUUUGUUGUUUUCCACUUUCCUCCUCUCGAAUGGUUUUUCUUUUUUUCUAACAUAAAUACAGAAACACAACUACAUUAUUUCUAUGAACAAAUACAAAUAUAAUCAUAAAUUUAAAAAAGAAUAAAAUAUUUAACUAAAAAAUAAAAUUAAAUAAAUUGAGAAUGAAACGAAAAACAUGAAAACAAGUUGUGGUAAAAAAAUGUAAUCGUUUUCUAUUAUUAUAAUUUUAUUAUUAAUUUUAUAAGAAUCAAACAAAACAAAUGAAAAAUAUCAAAUAAAUUAUUUUUUACACAAAAAAAAACAAA